rnacentral:rRNA from 1 species
UACGUAGGAUGCAAGCGUUGUCCGGAAUUACUGGGCGUAAAGGGCUCGUAGGCGGCCAACUAAGUCCGACGUGAAAUCCCUCGGCUUAACCGGGGGACUGCGUCUGAUACUGGAUGGCUUGAGUUUGGGAGAGGGAUGCGGAAUUCCAGGUGUAGCGGUGAAAUGCGUAGAUAUCUGGAGGAACACCGGUGGCGAAGGCGGCAUCCUGGACCAACACUGACGCUGAGGAGCGAAAGCCAGGGGAGCAAACGGG